rnacentral:rRNA from 1 species
AUGAACGCUGGCGGCGUGCCUAAUACAUGCAGGUCGAGCGCACGGACGAGAAGCUUGCUUCUCUGAUGUUAGCGGCGGACGGGUGAGUAACACGUGGAUAACCUACCUAUAAGACUGGGAUAACUUCGGGAAACCGUAGCUAAUACCGGAUAAUAUUUUGAACCGCAUGGUUCAAAAGUGAAAGACGGUCUUGCUGUCACUUAUAGAUGGAUCCGCGCUGCAUUAGCUAGUUGGUAAGGUAACGGCUUACCAAGGCAACGAUGCAUAGCCGACCUGAGAGGGUGAUCGGCCACACUGGAACUGAGACACGGUCCAGACUCCUACGGGAGGCAGCAGUAGGGAAUCUUCCGCAAUGGGCGAAAGCCUGACGGAGCAACGCCGCGUGAGUGAUGAAGGUCUUCGGAUCGUAAAACUCUGUUAUUAGGGAAGAACAUAUGUGUAAGUAACUGUGCACAUCUUGACGGUACCUAAUCAGAAAGCCACGGCUAACUACGUG